rnacentral:rRNA from 1 species
UACGAAGGGGGCUAGCGUUGCUCGGAAUCACUGGGCGUAAAGCGCACGUAGGCGGAUUGUUAAGUCAGGGGUGAAAUCCUGGAGCUCAACUCCAGAACUGCCUUUGAUACUGGCGAUCUUGAGUCCGGGAGAGGUGAGUGGAACUGCGAGUGUAGAGGUGAAAUUCGUAGAUAUUGGGAAGAACACCGGUGGCGAAGGCGGCGCUCUGGACCGAGACUGACGCUGAGGCGCGAAGGCGUGGGGAGCAAACAGG